rfam:Coniophora puteana RWD-64-598 SS2 unplaced genomic scaffold CONPTscaffold_4, whole genome shotgun sequence.
UCUCUUGUGCUCGGGCAUGUACUGUCGCCAGUGAAGUCUUUACUGAGGCACAGUCUUUUGCUGAUUGCAAAUUACACAUCCGAACCCGUCUGUCAGCUUCGGCUUUCAGCAAUUUUUGGAAAAAACCUCUUCCUUCGAGCUUUGUGCUUGAUAGUUU